AGGGAAAAAAAAAAGAAGAGUGAGCUGCUUUUGGGUCGCUGACAGAAGACAGCAUGAUGUUUAGGUUUGUUUGUGUCUGCCUUCUCUUAAGUGAAGUAAGCGGUCAACGAGGGUCUGGUGUUCCUUAUAGUUUUGGAUUUUAUAACUUUGAUAAUAGACCUUCUGGUAGUGGCUCUGUACCCUCUGUGAAUGACCUGGGUGAAGUCAAAGGUGGACCUCGGCCAAGUUCCAGUUACACGUCUUACAGAUCCCCAAUUCUAAGUUAUCAAGUCCAAUGCAGAUGCCACCAAACCAGGCAAGCUAUGCAUGGAUGCCCUCAACUCUGGUGAGCCAGCAAGGCCCAUCCCAAACCCAGGCGAAGCCAGUGUGGGGUCUCAAUCGCCCUGCUCAGGAGGCCCAGGCGCCGCAGACUACCAGCCAGCCGGCCAAGACUCCACCAGCCCCAGUGAGGCAGGUGCCGCAGACCACCAGCCAGCCGGCCAAGACUCCACCAGCCCCAGUGAGGCAGGUGCCGCAGACCACCAGCCAGCAGGCUAAGACUCCCCCAGAGUGAGACAGGAGCCGGCUCACGAUCCUAAACCUACACCUAGCCCUACUGGUGAUUCUGUGGAGGAAAAGCGCUGCCUUGUUAUAGCUCAGCCAUCAGGUUUUCAAACCCGCUAUGUGGUCAAAUCAUUUAACCGUUAUGUACGAGGAAAAAAUGUCUUUUCCCAAACCACCUACAUCCCACUGCACUAUCGUUCAAGUGAAACUGCCCCUGAGCCUGCCCCAUCGACAUUUUUCCAUGAUGCUCAGACUGUCCAAACUCUGGAGGCCCUUUCUAACAGAAAAAGAAGUUUGCCCUCUUCCUCCUCCUGUCCUGUGCCCUGGACUCCCAACUUGGCUGCACAUGUAGACUCUUUAGUUAAAACAAUAAAGCUUUUCUGUAAUUUUCUGCAUCUGCUUGCUUAA